AGUAGUGAAUUAGUUUUCCUUUUUGCAUUUUAACCUAGUCCGUAAACAUAAAUGUUUUACUUCGUAGACUGAUAAUAAUAUCACAACAUAGACUGUGUUGUGUUGCAUUAGUGAUUAUUGUUGGAGACAAAACCAUAACAGUAGUUUUGUUUUCCCGCAUAGGAGUCACCAUGGAGAUGUGUUGCUCCAUCUGAAGUGUCUCAGCUGUUUGUAGACUCCUAGAGGGUUACGCCAUGGGUGGCUACAAUUCUGGCGGCCUAUUCAUGAAGCUGUCUUAGCUCUAAGAUUGGCGUAAAUAUGUCGUAGCGAAAAACGUCUUAGUUCACUAACAUUGUCUGUAGAUGGCCAGGGGCAACUCAUGAUGCAUUCAUGCUGUCCAACAGCAACAUUGGCACCAAAUUAGAGCAGAAUCCUGUGGAUGGAUGGUUGCUCGGUGACUCUGGGCCCCGCAUUUGUCCAAGUCCGCCAUCUUUGUCCCUCGGCGUGCCUCCUCCUCAGUAUGCGCGGAGGCGCUAGAAAGCGCUCUCAGCGUGCGUUCCGUUCAUUAGGAAUUAUUCGGAGGUGCUCGCAAGCACUCGCUGGCGCCUCAGCGCCAAACAGCUUAUUGAAUGCACCUCAGAAACACCGUUGAGAGGGCUUUCGGGGUGUUGGAAGUCUAGAUUCUGUUGUCUGGGGAAAACUACAGGAUGUGAGUCCAUGGCGCACAGAUGGCAGGUAUCGUCUGCCCGUCAAUGUAGGUCAAGGGAAUUCCCUUAUGGUGUCAUGUGAAAACACCCGACUCUUUCUAUCUCUGACAGAAGAGAGCUCCCUGUCUUAGCCGCGACAGCUGUCGUAGCUGGGACACGGCUACGAUAGGUUUAAGACAGCUUCACGAAUAGCACUUAUGGCAGUCGUAAUUUUUAUCGUAAGUAGCUAAGAUUUGUCUAAGCUAAGACAGCUUCGUGAAUAGGCCGCCUGGCUACUACGGCGAAUAAAAGUGAUUGAAGAGAGAUAUUUUGCUUGGUCCUCUUUAAACCCCCACAUAUAAACAGGGCCCCAUCCCACAAAGCAAUCAUAUUUUUAGUGUUACGACUGUCGUCUAGGUUAAAGUAUGAAUAUCUUCUAAAAGGUGAGAUCUCUUUGAGGAACAGGGCCCAGGUGAUGAAUGUGGUCACAUUACCAUUACUGUAUACACGAUAGAAUGAUCAUGACAGUAUUGCUGUAAGAGCAGCUAACUCCUACAGUCCUACUGAUAGUUAUAUCACUGCAAUACCCAAUGAAUGGCAAGUCUUCACAGAGUUCUCAUGUGGCUGUCCCACGGAUGGUUACUGGAACCAUUUCAACAUGCUUAAGUAGUUGCUCUCAGCCUGGUAUCUGAAACAGUGUCUUACAAAGAUGUG